rnacentral:lncRNA from 1 species
CGGGCCUGUUCCUUUUGAACUGACUGCUGGCCAGGAAACAUCAGGGACCCAGCAUGGAAAUAGAGAACAAAUCUGGAAUCCACUGUGAGCCGUGAUCUUAGGCAACUCUGUUCCUGGAAUUGUUCCAGAGAUGCCACACGGUGAAGGUCACGGCCUGUGAACCAAAUGCUGUUCACAGGUACAUGACUGAAAUGCAAGCUAAAAUCUGCUGCCAACGCAAACACAGUUAGAAAACUUCCAGCAUUCAGUGCUCCUGGCUUCUCCGAAAGGUAAUAAAACCUGACCAUCCUGGGUCUGUGCCGUGCAAGAUGCCAAUACGUGGGAGCUCAAAGUUUACCCUGCCUCUUCACAACCCGGGAGCCUCCACCCUACUUCCUGGUGGCCUUUCUGUUGCCUCUGACCUGGAUCCAAGAGUCACUGCAUCUUGUGGUGUCUACUUUAGAGCAAGUCAACCCAGGAGUCGCAGAGGAAACAGAGCAGCAUCUUGUAGUGUGAAGAACCAGCUCCCAUUCUGUAUUUAACCAUCUGUCUUGUCUUUUAUCCGGUGGUGCUGAGACGGGGAUCCUUGGAGCGAAGUGCAGUGCAGACACUUGAUGAGCUUCCGGUCGUCCCUGUUCAAUCACGUGGGGCUUUCCAGGAUCACUGUGUUGCCGAAUGGCAUAAGAUGAGGUGCCAGAUCUCUCUAUGAGAGCUUUUUUUUUUUUUUUUUGGUUUUUCAAGACAGGGUUUCUCUGUGUAGCCGUGGCUGUCCUGGAACUCACUCUGUAGACCAGUCUGGCCUCGAACUCAGAAAUCUGCCUGCCUCUGCCUCUGCCUCUGCCUCUGCCUCUGCCUCUGCCUCUGCCUCUGCCUCUGCCUCUGCCUCUCUGCCUCUCUGCCUUUCUGCCUCUGCCUCUGCCUCUCUGCCCCUCUGCCUCUCUGCCUCUGCCUCUGCCUCUGCCUCUGCCUCUGCCUCUGCCUCUGCCUCUGCCUCUGCCUCUGCCUCUGCCUCUGCCUCUGCCUCUGCCUCUGCCUCUGCCUCUCUGCCUCUGCCUCUCUGCCUCUGCCUCUCUGCCUCUGCCUCUCUGCCUCUGCCUCUCUGCCUCUGCCUCUCUGCCUCUGCCUCUCUGCCUCUGCCUCUCUGCCUCUCUGCCUCUGCCUCUCUCUGCCUCUGCCUCUGCCUCCCAAGUGCUGGGAUUAAAGGCGUGCGCCACCACCGCCCGGCUUCUAUGAGAGUUUUUGCUGGUGGUGUUGGCAGUUAGGACACUAACAAGCCAGGACUCUGGGCAAACCUUGCUGCUUUCACCCCAGGAGGAAAUGCAAAACAGCACAAAGCACUGACUUUCUCUCUCCCUCUUGCUGCCUUCCCAGCCAAUGGAAGAAGGUUCUUCCUACAUACUUACUGCCAUGCUGGCUUCCACAACAAAGGGCCUCACACACCUAUCUGUGGCCCACAGGCUGGCACGGCGCCAGGAUAAAUAAAGGCCGUGAUUUUUCUUAUUAAUCAUAAACACACCGUCUCUCUUUCUAUUGUUCUGUAGCCUGGUUCACACCCUAUAGAAUUGUAUUCCGUUCCUACAGCCCUGACAUGCCCUAAGCUACAGUUGACAUUGAUUCAAUGGCUCCUAAAAGGUGCUAUCUGUUCCCUUGUGUCUACAAGGAGCCCUCUGACUCCUUUGCCACAGUGGUGACUCAGACCUUCGGAGAGCAGGGCACAGCAAGGUCACACGCCACCAGGGAAGGGAUUCUGAACUCAGCAAAUACACCGUGGUUCGGGGGUGGGGUGGGGUGGGGUGGGGAGGGUGGUUUGGGGUGGGGGGUAGUGGAGUGGUGGGGUGGGCCUGAGUGUCUUCUCUCUUUCUUUGGUGACUAAACUCAGGAUACAUCUUAGUGGAGAGUCACUCUCGUGUAUGAACCCUGCUAGCUUCAUCUUGUGUCUACUCCAAGAGGCCCUUUGAAGGGCCCCUUUUGAUACAACAGGCUUGAGGCACUCCUGGACUAGCCUACGGUCAGCAAAGCAAAGAAUUUUGAUGACCGGGUUAAAGAGAUCUCACCGGCAUAACUCACCAGAAGCACACUACAGGAAUGUCCAGUCCAGGCUUGUGUGUGUGUCCCAGGAUAGCCCAACACAGAUGGGGAUGACAGUGCCAUGUGUAUUAUCAAAAGGGUGGACAGCAGCCACCAUUUAAGAAAGAAGUCCCGCUGAAUGUAGCUUUGUUCAACUAGCCACAAAUGUGGGUAGGGAAGAAAAUUACAAUAACGUAGACGUGUCCAAAGUAAACCCAAAAGGUUGUAAAGUUUUAAAAGUCCACCGAAUUGUGCUCACAUCUUAAUUAGAAAGCAAAUGCUGGCACAUCUCUUCCGAGGAGUUAAACGGUUUGAAUUAUGGAUGAGACGGAUUCCUUCAAGCUGAGCCUCUCAUUUGGACACUCAUGGAACCGGGCAAUGACACAGCCAUAAGAAGCUGCAGCUGAUCACCAGACACCCCUGUGCUUCUCCCACUUCUGAAACUCGAGUGGGCCCCUGAGAUAAGAAUGAGAAUGUCUGUCUCCUGUCACUUUCAUCUGGAGGCCCUGUGAUGACGCCUGCAUCUUGUUUCUUCCCCCAACAGUGGAGGCCACGUGCCAAGCUAUGCGUCAGCAGAUCAAAGCGCUGCUCCAACCCCGAUCAUCUGAGCUUGAUGGAAGGAUGAGGCCUGAAUCCAGAAACUUGCUCUCCUCCCUCCAUACUCAGGCUAUGGCACCUGCGUGUACCCCCUGACUCCAAAUCACAAACACACACACCAUACAUAUACAGACUCAGUGUUAAUAAUAAAUUAAAUUAAAAUUAAAAUAUGUGUUUG